rnacentral:lncRNA from 1 species
GAAAUAGCAUAUUUCAUAGACAAUGCAAUCUGUUACAUCUCAUAGUUUACGAAUCGGUUGCUUUUUGUUGCUACUUGAAAUAAUUUUUCAGCUGUGAAUAGAUAGAUGUGCUUUUCCAUACUUGAUAUUCCCCAAGUGUGUUCGUGCAUUCGUAUAAUGUUUCAUAACUCAAGAAUUAGUGCAUGUUUGGUUGAUGAUUAUUUUAUAAUCACUUCUCAUUGAACACAAUUUUUAUCCACACAUUACGUGGGUAUCACCCCCAAAAUAUGCACUACUAACUAGAGUAUAAAUUGAUUGUUCAAAAUUCUAUAGGGGCUGUAUCAAAGUUUUGUAUCAACGCCUUCACACACUUGAAUGCAUAUCGAGACUUUGGGAAUCUUCUUGAAGAUGAUCAUCGAGCGAAAAUCCAGAAGAAUCUUCUUAGUGUUUGAUAUACAAUAUUGGAAAAUAUAAAUGACGUCGAAUUCUACUUGGAAACUCAAAAGAGUAAGAAUUUUUUUAUUUGUAUACUGAUUUUUGAUAUUUUGAUUGAUACUUGUAUUGUUGUCAAAUGUCAAUUGAAUGGAAAAAUUAUUUAAAAUUUAAACUGAUCAAUAAAGUAAUAUCAUGUGGUAAAG